rnacentral:lncRNA from 1 species
UUCUGUCUGUCAUCUGUUGCUGCUGUGUUUGAGACUAUUUUUUUUCUCGGAGCUAAGGAUCGAACCCAGGGCCUUGCGCUUGCUAGGCAAGCACUCUACCACUGAGCUAAAUCCCCAACUCCUACAGUAUUUUUUAUAAAUUCAGUUUGACAUGACCAUCUCGAGCUGUAACCAUCCCAAUUGCCUCAGAAUAAGUCAAGUUCUUCUACUUAGUUUCCCAGCAGAUUAUAAGUGGAUAAACUGUGAGAGUGGCCCUUAGGGCUUUGGGACAUGUCUAGUUCUGAUAGUCACUUAUGACAACCUGGAUACAUUCAACUAGGAUGAAAUCCAUUCUGCCUUAGCCCAUUAAUAUGCCUGUGAGGACCCAGCUGAUCUUCCCACCACCCCUCCCCUCCAGUAAGCCACUAAUAAAGUGCGUCCAUG